UCUCUUGUCUCACUUCUCACGCGUAGCAACCCUAAAUUGCCGCCGCCGCCUUCUUCGACAGCGCGCAAGCUUCCCGAUCAGGCCACGCCGGAGCGCCUCCGACGUCGUUUUCCGAUUCAUCAGGAGAUAAUCAUUUCCGAUCCGUUCCGUUCCGACGUUCUAUUCGUUCUUUUACUAUUAUAACGUCCGAGAACGGCGUGAGGCGUUCACGUGCCCGUUCCGGCCGUUCCACGCCCGUUCCGACGUGCGUCAACCCGUCAACCCGCAAUCUGCUAGGGAUCCGAUUGUGGAUUCCCUAUAUAACCCUCUCUAUUUCACUGCGCCGCCACCACCAUCCAAACCAAACCCUUUUGAGAUUUGCGUCUAAAGCAGGCCUGGGCAGAUCGAUUUAAUUCCGAGCGACGAUCCAAAAGAAACCGUCUGUUGGUAGCAGAUUUUCUUGCGGAGUGAAAUGUUCCAGUUUGGCCGAAGAAAUGAGGAUAAGUUGAGAAUAAUUUGGCUUACCCAUGGAACUGCAGGAAGAAGAAAAAAAAAAAACAUUCUGAUGUUUUUAGGUUUGGCAUGGGAGGUAUUGGAAAGAUUUGUUUGGUUAGAAGAUUAGAGGCUCAAGGUUUGCCUCCUAAUCAAGCAUACAUAAUCAUAUCAACAUUGACGACAUUUUUGAAUACUAAUUUAGAUCAUUUGACACAAUCUGUUGUGUCAAAGUCGGCAAUCAAUGAGUUUAAGGCGGAACAAAAUUCUGAUCUAUCCCAAUUCAAGUUAGAAAUGAAACACAUGCAGGAUGGUUAUUUUAAUUCGGUGGAACGAAAAAAUGAAAAACUGGAGAGAGAUUUUAAGAAAUUGGUUAUUAAAUUAACUAACAAAUUUAACCGGGAAAUUAUUGAAGUGGAAGCAGGACUGGAAGCUGGAAAAUUUGAGCAUAUGAAGAAAAUGAAAAUCUGGAGAGAGAUUUUAAGAAAUUGGUUAUUAAAUUAACAAGCAAAUUUAACCGGGAAAUUAUUGAAGUGGAAGUAGGACUGGAAGCUGGAAAAUUUGAGCUUAUGAAGAAAAUGAAAAAUUGGAGAGAGAUUUUAAGAAAUUGGUUAUUAAAUUAAUAAGCAAAUUUAACUGGGAAAUUAUUGAAGUGGAAGCAGGACUGCAAGUUGGAAAAUUUGAGAUUAUGAAG